GUCAAAGAAAACAAUUAUCGGGGACAUGGGGAUAGUGUGGACCAGCUUUGUUGGCAUCCAAGUAAUCCUGACCUAUUUGUUACGGCGUCCGGAGAUAAAACCAUUCGCAUCUGGGAUGUGAGGACUACAAAAUGCAUUGCCACUGUGAACACUAAAGGGGAGAACAUUAAUAUCUGCUGGAGUCCUGAUGGGCAGACCAUUGCUGUAGGCAACAAGGAUGAUGUGGUGACCUUUAUUGAUGCCAAGACACACCGUUCCAAAGCAGAAGAGCAGUUCAAGUUCGAGGUCAACGAAAUCUCCUGGAACAAUGACAAUAAUAUGUUCUUCCUGACAAAUGGCAAUGGUUGUAUCAACAUCCUCAGCUACCCAGAACUGAA
ensembl:lncRNA novel transcript